GAUGCUCAUCUUGGUACCCAGUCGGCACCUUGCAAGGACAUUGCAAUAUUGUUUGGAAAACUACCUCAUCAUUCUCAAUUGUUUUGCAAUGUAGUAGUGUAUGCAUGCAGCAAGCUCAUGGGCCACGGCCAGCAAAUUUUCCAACUGCCUCUUUUGGGGCCCAUUCCGUUGGGUGCGUGCCCAAGGGGAUCCCGACAUGUGGGCCCCACUCGUGGUAGAAACCCUUGA
rnacentral:lncRNA from 1 species